UGACCACUCAAGCCUAGCUUGGUAUUGGGGUUCGCGGUCUCGCGGCUCCUAAAAUCAGUGGCGGUGCCGUCUGGCUCUAAGCGUAGUAAUUCUCUCGCUAUAGAGUUCGGUGGUUGCUUGCCAAAACCCCUCAACCUCUCAC
rnacentral:misc_RNA from 1 species